AACGCAUCUUGCGCCCUUUGGUCACUCCGAAGGGCAUGCCUGUUUGAGAGUCAUUAUUAUUCUCAGACUUCAAAGGUUUGUUAAAGACUUUUGAAGCUCUGGAUAUGGGGGGAUUUUGCUGGUGAAUCUUUUAUUGCUGGCUCCUCUAAAAUGCAUCAGUGGAGAACAUUUUGUUCUUGGCUCUGGUUUGAUAAUUAUCUAUGCCAUUGCUUUGACAAGCUUUUUCCAUGUAAGAUGUCCUAUUUGGACAAACUUGUUGAAAACUUGACCUCAAAUCAGGUAGGACUACCCGCUGAACUUAA
rnacentral:misc_RNA from 1 species